AAUAAUUUAUUUGAUGGUUUCUUACUACAUGGAUAACUGUAGUAAUUCUAGAGCUAAUACAUGCGUAAAGUCCCGACUCUCGCGGGGAGGGAUGUAUUUAUUAGAUAAAAAACCAAUGCGGCCUCUGGCCGGUUUUGUGGUGAAUCAUAGUAACUUUUCGAAUCGCAUGGCUUCACGCCGGCGAUAGUUCAUUCAAAUUUCUGCCCUAUCAGCUUUCGACGGUAGUGUAGUGGACUACCGUGGCGUUAACGGGUAACGGAGAAUUAGGGUUCGAUUCCGGAGAGGGAGCCUGAGAAACGGCUACCACA
rnacentral:rRNA from 1 species